CAUGGCUCUGCGGGUCUCAUGGUGGUCGAGUUCUUUGCCCCCUGGUGUGGACACUUCAAGAGUCUUGCCACUGAAUGUGAAGCUUGCAGCUACCAGAUUAAAAGAAAUAGUCCCACCAGGAAAGGUUGAUGGCACUGCCAACAAAAUCACUUGUGAAAGUAUAGAGUCAGUGGAUGUCUGACCCUGAAGAUAGAGAUGGUGAAGAAGCAGGUGCUAUGACGGGCCUGGGACUGCCCAGGGAAUUGUCGGCCACCCAAAGAAGCAGGCAGGACCAGCUUCCGCUCCUCUCAGGACUGAGGAAGAAUUUAAGAAAUUCACUGGUGAUAAACCCCCUCUGUAGGGGGUUUUCUCAAGGAUUUAUUCAGUGAAGCUCACUCUGAGUUUCUAAAAGCAGCCAGAAACUUGAGGGAUGAUUACUGAUUUGCACACACCAACGUGCCAUUUCUGGUGAACGAGUAUGAUGAUAACAGAGAGGGUUUCACCUUAUUUUGUCCUUCGUAUCUGAUUAACAAGUUUGAGGAUGAGACUGUGGCAUAUCCAGAGCACAAGAUGACCGAUGGCAAGACUAAAAAGUUUAUCCAGGAAAACAUUUUUGGUGUCUGCCCUCACAUGACGGAAGACAAUAAAGAUUUGAUACAGGGCAAGGACUUACUAAUUGCUUAUACAAUGUGGACUAUGAAAAGAAUACUAAAGGUCCCAACUACUGGAGAAGCAGAGUAAUGAUGGUGGCAGAGAAAUUUCUGGGUGCCAGACACAAACUCACGUUUGCUGUAGCUAGCUGUGGAAGCUUCAGCCAGGAACUUUCUCAUUUGGGCUCGGAAGGCACUGCUGGAGAGAUUCCUGGUGUUGCUAUCAGAACUGCUAAAGGAUGAAGUUUGUCAUGCAGGAGGAGUCCCCGCAUGAUGGCAAGGCUCCUGAGAGGUUCCUGCAGGAUUACUCUGAUGGCAACCUGAAGAGAUACCUGAAAUCUGAGCCUGUCCCAGAGAGCAGUGAUGGGUCCUAAAGGUAGUAGUAUCAGAAAAUUUUGAUGAAAUAGUGAAUAAUGAAAAUGAAGAUGUGCUGAUCAAAUUUUAUGCUCCUUGGCAUGGUCACUGUAAGAAUCUGGAGCCCAAGUAUAAAGAACUGGGAGAGCAACUCAGCAAAGACCCAAGUAUUGUUAUAGCCCAGAUGGAUGCCAUAGCCAGUGAUGUGUCUUCUCCACAUGAAGUCAGGUUUUCCUACCAUCUACUUCUCUCCAGCCAACAAGAAGUUAAAUCCAAAGAAAUAUGAGGGUAGCUGUGAAUUGAGUGAUUUUAUUAGCUUUCUACAGUGAGAAGCUACAACCCCCCCCCCCCCAAUAAUUCAAGAAGAAAAACCUAAGAAGAAGAAGAAGGCACAGGAGGAUCUCUAAAGCAGCAGCCAGACACACUUUGUAAAAGGACUCUUCCACCAGGGAUGGGAAAACCAUGGGGGAGGACUGAGACCCAUAUGGUAUUAUUACCUCUCAGGGCUGAGAGGGCACAAUGAGUAUAAUCUGAAUCCUAUUAAAAUGUUCUCUAAACUGUU